rnacentral:rRNA from 1 species
GACGAACGCUGGCGGCGUGCUUAACACAUGCAAGUCGAACGGAAAGGCCCUGCUCUUGUUGGUUGCUCGAGUGGCGAACGGGUGAGUAACACGUGAGUAACCUGCCCUUGACUUUGUGAUAACUUCAGGAAACUGGGGCUCAUACCCGAUAGGAUCUCCUGCUGCAUGGUGGGGGUUGGAAAGUUUCGGCGGUUGGGGAUGGUCUCGCGGCUUAUCAGCUUGUUGGUGGGGUAGUGGCUUACCAAGGCUUUGACGGGUAGCCUGCCUGAGAGGGGUAACGGCCACAAGGGGACUGAGGUACGGACCAGACGCGUACGGGAGGCAGCAGUGGGGAGUAUUGCAGAAUGGGCGGAAGCGUGAUGCAACAACGCCGCGUGCGGGAAGACGGCCUUCGGGUUGUAAACCGAUUUCGCCGGUGACGAAGAGGGAGUGACGGUAAUGGGUAAAGAAGCAACGGCUAACUACGUG